rnacentral:rRNA from 1 species
GAGUUGAUCAUGGCUCAGGAUGAACGCUAGCGGCAGGCUUAACACAUGCAAGUCGAGGGGCAGCGGGAUGUAGCAAUACAUUGCCGGCGACCGGCGGAUGGGUGCGUAACGCGUAUGCAACCUACCUUAUACAGGGGAAUAACCUUUCGAAAGGGAGACUAACACCCCAUAGUAUUGAUUUAAGGCAUCUUAGAUUAAUUAAAUAGUUUAUAGGUAUAAGAUGGGCAUGCGUAUGAUUAGCUAGUUGGUAAGGUAACGGCUUACCAAGGCGACGAUCAUUAGGGGUUCUGAGAGGAAGGUCCCCCACACUGGUACUGAGACACGGACCAGACUCCUACGGGAGGCAGCAGUGAGGAAUAUUGGUCAAUGGGCGCAAGCCUGAACCAGCCAUGCCGCGUGCAGGAAGACGGCCUUAUGGGUUGUAAACUGCUUUUACAUAAGACUAACCGUAUAUUUGCGAAUAUACCUGAAUGUAUUAUGAGAAUAAGGAUCGGCUAACUCCGUGCCAGCCGCGGC